CAGCCAUUGGUCCAGGGCUGCUGGUGCCCAGGAAACCAGCUGUGCGUGAAGGGGUGGAGCCUAGAGGAGAUAAGAAGUCAAGCUUCAAGAGAGCAGAGGGGGCUGUACUGUACAUUGUGUGAGCACACGUGUCCACUGAAGUCGCUCCAGGGGUCGCCACAGCGGAUCAUCUGCCUGCAUCUUGUCCUAUCACUUGUGUCAUCUUCUGUUACACCAGCUGUCCUCAUGUCCUCCUUCACA